rnacentral:lncRNA from 1 species
ACGAUCAUGCCACAUGGGCUUAUGGGAAGUCACACGGGCAUGGGACAAGCGAAGGAGAUUGCACAUGCUCGUACGACACGGCUGUGCGAACCAUACGGCAUGGACACGCGGGCUUGUCAGAGGCCGUGUCAAGAUUAGGCUUUCAUUUUUAAUUGACAUGGGCUGAACAGGAGACAACACGGGCCUGUGACAUGUCUGUAUGGCCCAACAUGGGCCUCACACGACUGUGUCACCUUUUUAAAUCCCUAAUUCCUUUUCAAUUUUUAUUUUUUGUCUUCUUCUCAAACUCCCCAACCCUAGCCGCCGCAACACCUU